rnacentral:rRNA from 1 species
UGCAGUCGAGCGGAUGAGAGAGCUUGCUCUCUGAUUCAGCGGCGGACGGGUGAGUAAUGCCUAGGAAUCUGCCUGGUAGUGGGGGACAACGUUUCGAAAGGAACGCUAAUACCGCAUACGUCCUACGGGAGAAAGCAGGGGACCUUCGGGCCUUGCGCUAUCAGAUGAGCCUAGGUCGGAUUAGCUAGUUGGUGAGGUAAUGGCUCACCAAGGCGACGAUCCGUAACUGGUCUGAGAGGAUGAUCAGUCACACUGGAACUGAGACACGGUCCAGACUCCUACGGGAGGCAGCAGUGGGGAAUAUUGGACAAUGGGCGAAAGCCUGAUCCAGCCAUGCCGCGUGUGUGAAGAAGGUCUUCGGAUUGUAAAGCACUUUAAGUUGGGAGGAAGGGUUGUAGAUUAAUACUCUGCAAUUUUGACGUUACCGACAGAAUAAGCACCGGCUAACUCUGUGCCAGCAGCCGCGGUAAUACAGAGGGUGCAAGCGUUAAUCGGAAUUACUGGGCGUAAAGCGCGCGUAGGUGGUUCGUUAAGUUGGAUGUGAAAGCCCCGGGCUCAACCUGGGAACUGCAUUCAAAACUGACGAGCUAGAGUAUGGUAGAGGGUGGUGGAAUUUCCUGUGUAGCGGUGAAAUGCGUAGAUAUAAG